CCGAGAGAUAGACGCUGUCAAUCAAACUCCACAAGAUCAAUCAUCGGAUGAAGCGUUCCUGCUGGCAACCUUGCCAAAUAUUACACGACUCUGCGACAUUAUAUAAAUCUCAUGACACGACAAAGGUAUGGGAAAAGAGCCAGUCCUGACACAGUAUUUUUGGAUUUGCUGCCAAGAGAGA